rnacentral:lncRNA from 1 species
GUCGGCUUCCGCAGGGCCUCGAUGGUCUCUGGAGAGAGCAGAUACCAGAGCUGGGAGCAGAGGAGGGUCUGCUGGGGCCCGCUGACCCUGCCUGGCCAGGCAGCCCCUCUCUCUGCGCUCCGCUGCCACGGGAACCAGCGUCUUCAGCAAACAGAGCAGCUGGCAUGGAGCUCUUUCUUUUCAUCCUAUUUGGAGCUUAUCUUUGCUUUCAUUUCCUGGGGUCCCCAUCCCCCUUCUCUGGGGCUUAGGCCAGUGGGCAAGGCCAUUUGUUUGGGAUGAACGCUGAGCCCUCAGUUGCCACCCCAGGCUCCUGCAGACUCCCCAGCUCUGGGUGAACCCCAUAUUCCAUGCUCUGCUCUCUGCCUGGCACAGUGCUGGGGGCCAGAGUGGCCGUGGCCCCUGGGGUAGACCUGCCCCUGCCCCUGCCCUAAAUGUAAGCUGGCAGUUGGACCUCUGUCCUCUUUGAGGGAAAAGCAGGAGAAACCUAGCCCGUGAGUGUCAGGGGACGGCCACCUGCUCCCGGGUGCUGUGUGCCGGACCCCGAUGCCACUGCUGUUCCCAAGGGGCAGCUUC